rnacentral:rRNA from 1 species
GUACACGCUGUGACUAGCAUAUCAAUAAGCGGAGGAAAAGAAACUAACAAGGAUUCCCCUAGUAACGGCGAGUGAAGCGGGAAGAGCUCAAAUUUGAAAUCUUAAAGGGUUUCCCUUUACGAAUUGUAGUUUAAAGAAGUGUUUUCUGUUGAGGUUUUGGUAAAAGUUCUUUGGAAUAGGACAUCAUAGAGGGUGAGAAUCCCGUAUUUGACCUUUACUUUCAACCUUGUGAUACACUUUCAAAGAGUCGGAUUGUUUGGGAAUGCAGUCCAAAAUGGGUGGUAAAUUUCAUCUAAAGCUAAAUAUUGGCGAGAGACCGAUAGCGAACAAGUACCGUGAGGGAAAGAUGAAAAGAACUUUGAAAAGAGAGUUAAACAGUACGUGAAAUUGUCAAAAGGGAAGCGUUUGACACCAGUGUUGUUUUUCUGAAAAUCAAUUAAAGAACUGUUUAUGCUAAGUUGUUUAGACUUUAUCAGCUAACUGUUUAGUUUUGAGCUUUUCUUUAAUGCACUUUACAGUUAACAAGUCAACAUCAAUUUCUUUUGCUGUAAAAAAGCUUGAGGAAGGUGGCUUGAGAUUCGUCUUAAGUGUUUAUAGCCUCUUGCCUAUGCAGUCGGAGAGAUUGAGGUCUGCAGCGUAGAUCCUUCGGGGCUAAAUGCAUUUGUGCUAAGUUAUAGCAUUUUAUAGACAACUUGUUGACUAUGAUUUGUCUUGUAGCUUACUCGCUUAUGUUAUUUUACCUACGCUUAGGAUGUUGAGUCGUAGAGCACGCAG